rnacentral:rRNA from 1 species
UACGGAGGGGGCUAGCGUUGUUCGGAAUUACUGGGCGUAAAGCGCACGUAGGCGGAUCAGAAAGUCAGAGGUGAAAUCCCAGGGCUCAACCUUGGAACUGCCUUUGAAACUCCUGGUCUUGAGGUCGAGAGAGGUGAGUGGAAUUCCGAGUGUAGAGGUGAAAUUCGUAGAUAUUCGGAGGAACACAAGUGGCGAAGGCGGCUCACUGGCUCGAUACUGACGCUGAGGUGCGAAAGCGUGGGGAGCAAACAGG